UCUGCGACCCGGCUUGAAUGGAGCUCUUUUUAUGAAACGAAGUGGAAUAAAAAAGCGGGAAUGGAAGACGGAAAUUGUC
rnacentral:misc_RNA from 1 species